GAUGAAGAACGCAGCGAAACGCGAUAUGUAAUGUGAAUUGCAGAAUUCAGUGAAUCAUCGAAUCUUUGAACGCACAUGGCGCCUUCCAGUAUCCUGGGAGGCAUGCCUGUCCGAGCGUCGUUUCAACCCUCGAGCCCUCGUGGCCCGGCGUUGGGGAUCUGCCACGGCAGGCCCCGAAAUACAGUGGCGGACCCGUUAGGCCCUUCCUUUGCGUAGUAGCAUCAGCCUCGCAUCGGGAGCCGGCGGGCUCUCCUGCCUCUAAACCCCCCAACAAGCCCGCUCCGGCGGCACCAAGGUUGACCUCGGAUCAGGUAGGAAUACCCGCUGAACUUAAGCAUAUAAAUAAAGCGGAGGA
rnacentral:misc_RNA from 1 species